rnacentral:misc_RNA from 1 species
AAAUUAAUUUAAUAGUGAUUUAUUUCUAUAACCCUCUCAGUGUGCAUAAUUUAAAAAAAAAAAACCUUGAUACCAUUGUCGAGAGUAGAGUAUUACACAGGAUGCAGGAGCAAAAAGACCUGAGAGACUACAGCACUGAAACAGCCAAAGAGACGAAAAGAAAUCAAACCCAUGCUUGAAACUCAAGACAAAUUUUCGAACUGCCCACUUCUAGUUCCUAACCACUUCGUUAAUAGCAUCCUGAUUCUCCAUGCUUCCAAGAAAGACUUUUGUAAGAACUGUUUUAGACUGCAAAGAUUCCUUGAUGAGUAGCUUCAAAGCCUCAUCCAUGUCUAAAUCAACCACCCUUUCUUCAAGUGCACUUAAAUCCUGGAUCUCGAACUUGUUUAGUAGAGUAAUGCUUGAUAUGGAAGACAAAGGGCUCACCGCCAAAUUGUCCAUCACCAGGUAAGUGACCACACCCUUACAAAACCCUUCUCAGCAGAAGGCACCUGUUCACUAGAAAGCACCUGCUCACUAGAAAGCACAUUCCUUCUACGAUAUAAAGGACUAACGCGACUAGGACAAGCCCUACUUGUUUCCUUAACCGUAUUAUUGCCACAUUCUAAGAGAGGGAAUUCAGUGGCGGAGAUGGAAACUGUUUUCUUCAAAAUGGAUUCUUUAGUUUCGCUUGUGUUCAUGUAAGAUUCACUGAGUUCGUCAACGCUCUUAUACAGGUUCCCUAGGCAACCCACCAUGUCUUGCUCUGUUAAGAGCCUAAUUACAGACCCUAAAGGGAGAGUAAGAAGGUAUAGAAGGAAAUCGACAAAAUCUUUUCCUGCUUCUGCAAAAAGAACCUUGUGGCUCUUUUUGUCUAUCAGAAGCUUCAAGCUGACUUUGGAUGUUGCCAUAUUGCGUGGAUGAGGGUGACUAGAAUUUGGCUUUGAAGGUUUU